CUAGCAAGUGAUGCUGCUGCUGCCGGUCCACAGACCACAUCUGGAAAACCACUGACAUAGCGCAUGUCAGAAGACAGAAUCACAGGAAAUAGUUUAAAGAUCGUAAUUGGUUUUGUUUGAGUUACUAGAAUCAGACAACACCUCAUGUCAUAAAGCAAGAGUGUUCCAAUGAGGAGAGAUCAGAAAAGGUUGAUGUUAUAGACAAGAGAGGAAACCGAGGGAAGCAGAAACAGAAAACAAAAAGCAGACUGAUCAUUUCAAAGUUACUUUUCCUAUAGAGGUUAACCAAGGUAGACUUCCUUACACAGCUGAAACUGGUCUGUGGGGAACUUGGCUCCGCCCACUCUCCUGGCUCCUCAGAACAUCAGGCAGGAUCUCACUAUGUCACUAACUUGCCCAGACUGGGCUCAAACGCAGAGAAGUCUGAUAAUGUGAGAAAUCACGCCAUGAGGAGUCCUGGAUAGCCAGGGGAAAGACCAUGUGAAGAGAGUCUGUGGCCCAGCCUCCCCGCCGAGGACUUGUGUGCAGAAGCCAGCUUGGGUGGCUGUGCUCAGUCAGGACUUCCACAGACUGCACCCCCAGCGCCUCUGAUUGCAACUGCGUGAGCGCCGGUACAUGGGAACCAUUCAGCAAAGCCCCACUCAUCUUCACAGCUCUGAGAAAUAAUCAUAAACUGUGUUAAGUCGUUAAAUUCUGAAGUUAUUUGUUGCUGUGGUUGGGAUACAUGUUCCCCAGAGGUCAUGGGUUACAGGUCUAUCCCCAGCUUGGAACUACUGGGAGGCAGUGGAAACUGUAAGACCCAGGGCCUGGUGGGAGGUCAUUAGUCUUGUGGCUGUGGCCUUCAAGGGAAUUCAACGACAGUCCCUUCUUCUUCCUCCCUUUCACUUCCUGUCCAGUGCCACACACUCCCCACCACUGCCAUCUGCCAGCAGAGGCCUAAAAGUAACAGAUCCGCCUGAUUAUGGACUGGGACCAGAAUAAAC
rnacentral:lncRNA from 1 species